AUUGAACGCUGGCGGCAUGCCUUACACAUGCAAGUCGAACGGCAGCGGACCUUCGGGUGCCGGCGAGUGGCGAACGGGUGAGUAAUAUAUCGGAACGUACCUUUCAGUGGGGAGUAACGUAGCGAAAGUUACGCUAAUACCGCAUAUUCUGUGAGCAGGAAAGCAGGGGAUCGCAAGACCUUGCGCUGAUUGAGCGGCCGAUAUCAGAUUAGCUAGUUGGUGAGGUAAAGGACUCACCAAGGCGACGAUCUGUAGCGGGUCGUGAGAGGAUGAUCCGCCACACUGGAACUGAGACACGGUCCAGACUCCUACGGGAGGCAGCAGUGGGGAAGUUUUUGGUACGAAAUGGGCGGCAAGACCUCGAUCCACGCCACUG
rnacentral:rRNA from 1 species